UGCCCCAUGGCUGAGUUGGUUACAGCGUCCGACUGUUAUAAAUUGUCAUCGGAAGGUCGAGAGUUCGAGCCUCUCUGGGGCAG
rnacentral:tRNA from 1 species